AUGGAGAAAAUUCAAGCACAGUC
rnacentral:siRNA from 1 species